CAAAAUGAACUUUUUAAAAUUUUCAAUUCAGUCAUUCCUAUUUUCAGAAAGGCCAUCUUUCCGACCCACUUUUUCUGAAUAUUUUUUCCACCAAAAACCAUCAACUGAACCAAUAUCCUCAAUGUCAUUUUUGUUGCAAAUCCAGAAAAAUAAAAAGGGAAGAUUACAUAGCCUUUUAGUCAUUUUUUCCAUGUAAAAGAUUGGAAGAAAAAACUUCGAUUUUGACCUCAACUUCACCAUUCUCGACAACCCAAAACUUGGAAUUCACCAUUCUCGAUAACCCAAAGCUCACUGUUGAUGGAGAAGAGACCCUUGGGGCAGCGGUGUGAGCUAUGAAGAAUAUGAAUUU
rnacentral:lncRNA from 1 species